AUGCAAAAACAAAUGAAUGUCAAGAGAAAAGAUAUUUCUGAUACACUACAAAAGCUUUGGAGGUAAAUUAUCGGUAUGGCUAAUUUAGCCACUGCUGUCAGUCACCUUCAGACAAGU
rnacentral:snoRNA from 1 species